GGGGAGGGGUGGGGUUCUGAGCUCGGUCAAAGGGUCUUGGUCAAGUGCACCGGGGCCCUCCCUGCCUCCUCUGCAUGCGGCCCCCACGGUCCUAGUGCCCUCGGCCUCGGACCCUGGGCUGGGCCGUGUGACUCACGUGGGCCCGGAGGAUGUGAGCAGAGGGCUGUGCCUUCCGCGGCUCCUGCCUCUGCUUCGGGACGAGGACGUGCCCCGGCCGCCUGUGGGUGAGGGGAGACCGUGGGCAGGGCCCCUCUCCAGCCAGGCUCCGGGACAGGCUGCCUGGACUCCAGUCCCCGUGCGUUUAGACCCGAGUGAACUUGGAAAGCGAGUGAGCCACUCGACCUCAGUUUCCUCCUCGCAAAAGUGGUGGUCACUUCAAAGGCAAGACCCAACGAGAUGGCCAACGUCCAGCACGGAGCUCAGGGCCCGGCACGCCGUGCAGUGAGUUAGCGGCCACGCCAGCCACGGAGAGAAGGUGGUGUCAGAAGUAGCGAGAAGCACUUGGUCUCCGUGACUUCACACUUGGCGGGCUGUGCCAGCAGCACUCCAGGUGAUCUAGAGCUGGUGCUUCAAGUCAGAAUUCAGAGCCCCAAAGAAAAUGACUUCAUUGACGUUGACUGAACAAAGAGCUGCUAUCAAAACCAACUAAAAGUGAGUUGCUGUGAACUGGAGAUUAAUCUAGCAUAUGAAAUAUAUCAUCCCUCACCCCCGAAUUCCCAAUAGCUCAGUGUUAAGACAUUACAUGAACACAGGCAUUACAUGAACACUUAUCUCACCCAACUGUACAAAAAAGAGACAUUUUAAAUGCUGUGGGGUGGGUGCAGAAAUGGUACUUUUUCAUUCAUGAAUAUGAGUGAAUCUGACCUGAAUCUGCAGUUUGCCCAUUAUCCAUGGACCUUUUUAAAAGUUAUUUCAUGUUUUAAACUUGUCACUCUGGUGAGAUGACUGAUUUGGGAAAUAAAUUCAAAGGCAAGCUCUCUACCUGCUCAGGCCAAGGAAAUGGUGGGAGCCUCCAUAGGCCUCACAGAA